rnacentral:tRNA from 1 species
GCCUGGGUGGCUCAGUCGGUUGAGCGCCUGACUCUUGAUUUUGGCUCAGGUUAUGAUCUCGGGGGUGUGGGAUCGAGCCCCGCAUUGGGCU